rnacentral:tRNA from 4 species
GCCUUGAAAGCUAAAAGCUAUAAGCGUCUGGUCUUGUAAACCAGAAGAGAAGGUUAAAGUCCUUCUCAAGGCU